AGGCGCUUUGAGCUCCCUUCCAACCCAAAGCAUUCUAUCAUGCUAUGAUUUGCAUUACUGUGAAGGAGAGAUUCGGGUUUGUAUGAGACCUAUGAGCUGUGCUCUCUAUUUUUGUCUUUCUAUGGCAAAGAUCUGUUGCUUUCAUUUCCUUCUACCCACACCCAACUGCUCCAAAGGCUUAGCAGGGAACACCGUUCAGCUUUCACCCAGCAGCACUCACUAAGCCAAGGAUGUAUACAGCAACUGGGGUGCUGAUAGCUCAUCAGAGGCAAGAAGAUGUUGAGCAAGGAGGAGAAAUGUGCAUUUAAGAGAUCCCAUGCCAUAAUGGAGACAAUGGAACCUGACUUGGAUGCAAUAUCCCUUCAGAGUGAACUGCUGCUGUGAGGGAGCUGCUGGGCAGGGUGCGACCAAUGUUUCAAUGAGAAAUUAUCACCUUUAAAUGGACUGAUCUCAAUCCCUGCAGUCACACUGGUUGUGCUCACAUCGAGUGUCAGUGAGACAUCUGGCUGACUGGUGGCAAAGGGAACAGGCACAAGGACAGUCUGGACGCCAUUCCUGGGAAAGCUACCUUUUUGGAGCUGUCUUUGACUUGUCCUUCAAUUGGCCACGGUGGAUGGAACUGUCAGGAGGCCCAGGGAAGGCACAGACCCAGCCUGCGGAAACGGAUAAUCACCGUCAGCAGACCAAACGAAUUCAGAGGAAUCUUUAGUACUGGGAAAUGACACUAACAAUCUCUGCCAUUAGCAGAGGAUGACUCCUCCAGGAAGACCGGCGGCAGAUGCAGUGCUGACAGACUGAUGUUAUAUCUGUGGUGAGGGGAGAGAGAGCUUUAAAAAUACAGAUUGCUCUGGGAAGAAAUAUUUGCAUAAAUAUUUUACUUCUAGCUGAUAUCACAUCUCCCCAAAUCCAGGCCUGCCUGGGAAGUGAAACGAGCUUUUUUGCAUGCUAUCCACAGCCAAGGUAAUGGGAGAUGUUCUGCUCUAAACUGAGAUAGUGGAACCAUAUUCAGCAGCUGAAAAAAUUGCCUCUUGCUUCUUUGCAGCCAGUUUCACUCUCACAGUUCUCAUACAAGGAUAGUGUGUUUGUACAGGGAAAUAAUGUCACCAGAAAAGUGUAAUAGCACUUCAAGUAUCAGCCCUGGGAGGAUAGGAACCUCAUAGCUCAGUGUGAACCCUUUGAAAACAGCUCAGAUGAUUGCAGGCGAUUCUCUGCAGACAAAUGAAAUGAUAGAAUUUCUUUGUACUCAUAUUUUUACACAUAUAACUGAUGGAGCAGAUUGCCCUGUUGAUACAGCUGGAGCUCCGAAAUCCUUGCAGAUCUCAUCUGGUGCAGUGAGCGCAGUGCCUCGCAGGGACAUCACCAUCCUGCUGAGUCCUGCAGUGAGCAGAGCUGGCAGCUGGAACUGGAGUGCGAUUUGGAGUGUUUGGGUUCCCUUGCCACUGUCAAGAAUUACCCUGAAGAGUACUUAAAUAUUUCUCUUAAUGAUUGCAUUAAGUUUCAUGCCACCGAUAUUCCUGGCAGUUCCUCUGCCAGCUAAAGUGCUAAAUAUCCUGAUUUUAUCGUGCAUACCUAUGGAUUACAAAUAGAUCUUAUUAACUGCUCAGAACUGACACAUCUAUUUGAAUAAAGGGGCUCAUUUCUUUGCAGGCAGUAGAACAAUCUUCCUGUUAUGCUAAUAAAUAUGGAUA